AUUGAACGCUGGCGGCAGGCCUAACACAUGCAAGUCGAGCGAGCGGCGGACGGGUGAGUAAUGUAUGGGGAUCUGCCCGAUAGAGGGGGAUAACUACUGGAAACGGUGGCUAAUACCGCAUACCAUCAGAUGAACCCAUAUGGGAUUGGCUUGUAGGUGGGGUAAAGGCUCACCUAGGCGACGAUCUCUAGCUGGUCUGAGAGGAUGCUCGGCCAGACUGGGACUGAGACACGGCCCAGACUCCUACGGAAGGCAGCAGUGGGGAAUAUUGCACAAUGGGCGCAAGCCGGAUGCAGCCAUGCCGCGUGUAUGAAGAAGGCCUUAGGGUUGUAAAGUACUUUCAGCGGGGAGGCGUUACCCGCAGAAGAAGCACCGGCUAACUCCGUGCCAGCAGCCGCGGUAAUUC
rnacentral:rRNA from 1 species